AGUGAACGCUGGCGGCGUGCUUAACACAUGCUAGUCGAACGAGAACGGAAUAUAGCUUGCUAUAUUUGUCAGCUAAGUGGCGCACGGGUGAGUAAUGUAUAGAUAACCUGCCCUUAAGAAAGGAAUAACAGUUGGAAACGACUGCUAAUGCCCUAUAUGCCUUUAAUAUAUAAGUAUGCAAGAGAAACGCUUUAGUGCUUAAGGAUGGGUCUGUAUGGUAUCAGCUUGUUGGUGAGGUAAUGGCUCACCAAGGCUAUGACGCCUAACUGGUUUGAGAGGAUGAUCAGUCACACUGGAACUGAGACACGGUCCAGACUCCUACGGGGGGCAGCAGUGGGGAAUAUUGCACAAUGGACGAAAGUCUGAUGCAGCAACGCCGCGUGGAGGAUGACACAUUUCGGUGCGUAAACUCCUUUUAUAUAGGAAGAUAAUGACGGUACUAUAUGAAUAAGCACCGGCUAACUCCGUGCCAGCCGCCGCCGUAA
rnacentral:rRNA from 1 species